UGGGGUGUAGCCAAGUGGUAAGGUAACAGGUUUUGACCCUGUAAUGCGAGGGUUCAAAUCCUUCCACCUCAG
rnacentral:tRNA from 1 species